rnacentral:misc_RNA from 1 species
GCAAACUUGGUCAUUUAGAGGAAGUAAAAGUCGUAACAAGGUUUCCGUAGGUGAACCUGCGGAAGGAUCAUUACCGAUAACUCGUGUGACGCGGCCAACGCGCCCGUCCGCCACACCCUAUGUGUACCUACUACCGUUGCUUCGGCGGGCCUGGCCCCUCGUGGCCGGCCGACCCCCCUAUGGGGGUGUGCCAGCGCCCGCCGGAGGACCAACCGAACUCUGUUUUUGUGAUGUCUGAGCUUUACAAGCAAAUACAUUAAAACUUUCAACAACGGAUCUCUUGGUUCUGGCAUCGAUGAAGAACGCAGC